rnacentral:rRNA from 1 species
UACGAAGGGGGCUAGCGUUGUUCGGAUUUACUGGGCGUAAAGCGCGUGUAGGCGGGCCGUUAAGUUGGGGGUGAAAUCCCGGAGCUCAACUCCGGAACUGCCUCCAAAACUGGCGGCCUGGAGCAGAGGAGAGGCGAGUGGAAUUCCGAGUGUAGAGGUGAAAUUCGUAGAUAUUCGGAGGAACACCAGUGGCGAAGGCGACUCGCUGGACUCUUGCUGACGCGGAGACGCGAAAGCGUGGGGAGCAAACAGG